rnacentral:rRNA from 1 species
CUUGGCGGCGUGCUUACACAUGCAAGUCGAGCGAGAAGUUUAGAAAUGGAUCUUCGGAGAAAUAGAUAAAUGGACAGCGGCGGACGGGUGAGUAACGCGUAAAUAACCUACCAUGCACACAAGGAUAGCCAUCGGAAACGGUGAAUAAUACUUGAUGAGGCUACAGUUUCGCAUGAAACAGUAGUUAAAGAAUUUUGGUGUAUGAUGGAUUUGCGUUUGAUUAGCUAGUUGGUAAGGUAAUGGCUUACCAAGGCGAUGAUCAAUAGCCGGCCUGAGAGGGUGAACGGCCACACUGGAACUGAGACACGGUCCAGACUCCUACGGGAGGCAGCAGUGGGGAAUAUUGCACAAUGGGCGGAAGCCUGAUGCAGCAACGCCGCGUGAACGAAGAAGGCUUUCGAGUCGUAAAGUUCUGUUAUAGGGGAAGAAGAAGUGACGGUACCCUAUAAGAAAGCCACGGCUAAUUACGUGCCAGCAGCCGCGGUAAUACGUAAGUGGCGAGCGUUAUCCGGAAUUACUGGGCAUAAAGAGUUCGUAGGCGGUCAAAAAAGCCAAUAGUGAAAGCCACCGGCCUAACCGGUGUAAGCUAAUGGAACUGAUUGACUUGAGUACAGGAGAGGAAAGUGGAAUUCCUAGUGUAGUAGUGAAAUGCGUAGAUAUUAGGAAGAACAUCAGUAGCGAAGGCGGCUUUCUGGACUGAAACUGACGCUGAGGAACGAAAGCGUGGGGAGCGAACAGGAUUAGAUNCCCUGGUAGUCC